rnacentral:rRNA from 1 species
AGAGUUUGAUCCUGGCUUAGGAUGAACGCUAGCUACAGGCUUAACACAUGCAAGUCGAGGGGCAGCAUGGCGGUGCUUCGGCACUGCCGAUGGCGACCGGCGGAUGGGUGAGUAACGCGUAUCCAACCUGCCCCUGUCCCGGGGACAGCCCUUAGAAAUGAGGAUUAACCCCCGAUGCGAUGCGUCGUCCGCAUGGCCGAUGCAUGAAAUGUGAAGGACAGGGAUGGGGAUGCGUUCCAUUAGGUUGCAGGCGGGGUAACGGCCCACCUGGCCCGCGAUGGAUAGGGGUUCUGAGAGGAAGGUCCCCCACACUGGAACUGAGACACGGUCCAGACUCCUACGGGAGGCAGCAGUGAGGAAUAUUGGUCAAUGGGCGUAAGCCUGAACCAGCCAAGUAAGCGUGCGGGACGAAGGCCCUACGGGUUGUAAACCGCUUUUGCGCGGGGAUAAUCCACGCCACGUGUGGCGUGUUGCAGGUACCGCGCGAAUAAGGACCGGCUAAUUCCGUGCCAGCCGCUGC